GACGAACGCUGGCGGCGUGCUUAACACAUGCAAGUCGAACGAUGAAGCCUAGCUUGCUAGGUGGAUUAGUGGCGAACGGGUGAGCAAUACGUGAGUAACCUACCUUUAACUCUGGGAUAAGCCCGGGAAACUGGGUCUAAUACCGGAUACGACCAAUCUCCGCAUGGGGUGUUGGUGGAAAGCGUUAUGUAGUGGUUAUAGAUUGGCUCACGGCCUAUCAGCUUGUUGGUGAGGUAACGGCUCACCAAGGCGACGACGGGUAGCCGGCCUGAGAGGGUGACCGGCCACAAUGGGACUGAGAAACGGCCCAGACUCCUACGGGAGGCAGCAGUGGGGAAUAUUGCACAAUGGGCGCAAGCCUGAUGCAGCGACGCCGCGUGAGGGAUGACGGCCUUCGGGUUGUAAACCUCUGUUAGCAGGGAAGAAGAGAGAUUGACGGUACCUGCAGAGAAAGCGCCGGCUAACUACGUG
rnacentral:rRNA from 1 species